UGGGGAAUAUUGCACAAUGGGCGCAAGCCUGAUGCAGCCAUGCCGCGUGUAUGAAGAAGGCCUUCGGGUUGUAAAGCACUUUCAGCGGGGAGGAAGGCGAUAAGGUUAAUAACCUUGUCGAUUGACGUUACCCGCAGAAGAAGCACCGGCUAACUCCGUGCCAGCAGCCGCGGUAAUACGGAGGGUGCAAGCGUUAAUCGGAAGUACUGGGCGUAAAGCGCACGCAGGCGGUCUGUCAAGUCGGAUGUGAAAUCCCCGGGCUUAACCUGGGAACUGCAUUCGAAACUGGCAGGGUAGAGUCUUGUAGAGGGGGGUAGAAUUCCAGGUGUAGCGGUGAAAUGCGUAGAGAUCUGGAGGAAUACCGGUGGCGAAGGCGGCCCCCUGGACAAAGACUGACGCUCAGGUGCGAAAGCGUGGGGAGCAAACAGG
rnacentral:rRNA from 1 species